rnacentral:rRNA from 1 species
CUUACACAUGCAAGUCGAGGGGUAACGAUGGUGCUUGCACCAGGCGACGACCGGCGGACGGGUGAGUAACACGUAUGCAAUUUGCCUUUAACUGGAGGAUAGCUUCGGGAAACCGUAAUUAAUACUCCAUAGUAUUCAAAAGACGCAUGUUUUUUGAAUUAAAGCUCCGGCGGUUAAAGAUAAGCAUGCGGGACAUUAGCUAGUUGGUAAGGUAACGGCUUACCAAGGCGACGAUGUCUAGGGGGUUUGAGAGGAUGAUCCCCCACACUGGUACUGAGACACGGACCAGACUCCUACGGGAGGCAGCAGUGAGGAAUAUUGGGCAAUGGGCGCAAGCCUGACCCAGCCAUGCCGCGUGCAGGAUGAAGGUCCUAUGGAUCGUAAACUGCUUUUGUAUGGGAAGAACUUCCCGCAUUCGUGCGGGAUUGACGGUACUAUACGAAUAAGGACCGGCUAACUCCGUGCCAGCAGCCGCGGUAAUACGGAGGGUCCAAGCGUUAUCCGGAUUCACUGGGUUUAAAGGGUGCGUAGGUGGAACGAUAAGUCGAUGGUGAAAGCCUACAGCUUAACUGUAGAAUUGCCAUUGAUACUGUUGUUCUUGAGUAUAGUCGGGGGAAGUGGAAUGCGUAAUGUAGCGGUGAAAUGCAUAGAUAUUACGCAGAACACCGAUCGCGAAAGCAGCUUCCUAGGCUAUUACUGACACUGAGGCACGAAAGCGUGGGGAGCGAACAGGAUUAGAUACCCUGGUAGUCCACGCCGUAAACGAUGCUCACUCGCUGUUGGCGAUAUAUUGUCAGCAGUUAAGCUAAAGCAUUAAGUGAGCCACCUGGGAAGUACGUCCGCAAGGAUGAAACUCAAAGGAAUUGACGGGGGCCCGCACAACCGGUGGAACAUGUGGUUCAAUUCGAUGAUACGCGAGGAACCUUACCUGGGC